AAAGCAGAAAAACACAGGUAGAUGAGCAACGCUGGAAGCUAAAGUGCCAUGGAUGGAGAUCUCCAGGGACCAGAGGCCGAAUAGAGGAGCGAAACGGGAUGCUGGCGUGCCUCGCUCGAGACCGAGUUUCAGGUGGGUGUAGUCAUGUCCGUUUGCAUGAGUCUGCCUGAGAUCAGGCAGCACUGUCAGCAAGGAAAGAAGGUGGGUGACAGCAGGAAGAGUGUCCCUGCCGUGGCCUGGUCCCAUCCCUAUCCCGCUGGACCUGGGAGGUGCCCACACCUUCUGUCUCUCUCUGCGCAUUUCCUGAUCAGUGGCCCUGAGCUUCUGCCACAGUUCCGUGAUGUUCAGCUCCAGCUGCGUGUUCUGCUUAUGAAAGUGCUCCAGCUCAGCUUCCAUCUGCAGAGAACGAAGGGGGGAGGUCAUGGUCAGCUUCGGCCUGGGAUAGGUGUUUGGUGUGGUGGUUAAGACACUCCCAGGAAUGCCCGCAUCCCAUACCUAGCUUCAAACUCUGGCUUGCUUCCCACUGAGCUUCCUGCUUCUGAACACCUUAAGAAGCA